rnacentral:lncRNA from 1 species
CCACAAACACUUUCAUACUUAACCAUUUUAAUAACCAUUCAUCAUAAAAUACUUACACCUCAUUCUUUAGCAAAAUCAUAAUUACAAACAUACAAAAUAACUAAAUCCCUAUACAUGCCAUAACCCAAACAUGUUUCAUCAUAAAAUACCGAGUAGUUGUUCUUGAUAGUGUGGACGAUCUCCGACUUCUUUAGGAUCCUUGAAGUAACCUUGCAAUACUAUAAGAGAAUGAGAAAUAAAAGACGUAAGCAUAAAGCUUAGUAAGUUUACUAGCAAAUAAAUAACAAUAUUUAACACAAAUAAUUAAACUCAAGUGUCUAUAUCUCUAUUUUACUCUUUAGUUAAUCUCAUACUAGUUCUCUUGCUUGAUUACUUAAUAUACUUGUGUUCAUAACUUACUCUUCUCUUGCUGCAUCAUUGAAUAUCAAAUGUUAAUAUAAUAAAUUCUUAACUCCUAUAACUCACCUGAGCUUGCCAUUUCUUAUCUUUAACUGAACUUUCAUGUACCUGAUUCGUUUACUAGCCCGUUGAACCACAUUGGAAUAAUAAGGAUACUCGGGUAUCUUCUGAUCAUAACAUGCCAAAGCCAUGUCCCAGACAUGGUCUUACAUGGGAUGUUCUCAUAUCGGUGCCCAUGCCAUGUCCCAGACAUGGUCUUACGGGGGACCUCUCAUCUCGGUGCCAACACCAUGUCCCAGACAUGGUCUUAUAUGGGACCUCUCAUCUCGGUGCCCAUGCCAUGUCCCAGACAUGGUCUUAUAGGGGACCUAUCAUCUCGGUGCCAAUGCCAUGUCCCAGACAUGGUCUUACAUGGGACCUCUCAUCUCGGUGCCAAUGCCAUGUCCCAGACAUGGUCUUAUAUGGGACCUCUUUACCCAAAUGUCAUGACAUUCGUAUCCAGUACCAUCCUUAUGUAUCAACGGGACUUUUAAAUUUUAAUUCUCUAUCAUUUCAUGCUUGGAUAAUCAUCAAAUAAAUUCAUGAAAUAAAUAUAUAAUUUCUGGAAAUUAACAAAAUUAAUAAUAAUUAUUAAAAUAUUGUAUUUAUUUACCGUAAACUUACAUCGGUACCAACUAUAGUCAAAUUCACCAACUUAGUCUUCAACUUUACUCUUUCCUUUGUCUAACCUCGAGUUUCGUUCUUGUUGAUCUAAAAUAGCAAAUUUAAUUAAUUUAAUACUCACAUUCAUCAAAACAGCCCUCGACUCUAACUUUUUCAAAAUUAUGAUUUUGCCCCUAAACUUUUACAUAAUUACAUUUUUUCCCCAAGGCUCGGAAAUUAAACUUCAUCCCUUAUUCUUAUGUUUUAUGACAUGCUGAACAUUUUUCCCUUCUAUGGCAACAUCAAAUUCCCACUCUAACAUGCACUUAAGAACAUUAGGUAUUUUUACCGAUUAUGUCAACUUACUCGCUUUCGCUUAAAAUCGGCUAGCAAAAGUUGUUUAACAUAAUUUCUAGCUUCAUAUUCUAUCAUAAAACAUCAAAAUAAACACUUUUCACCUAUGGGUAUUUUUCCAAAUAUAAACCCUAGGUUAAAUUAUUGCUAGAAUAAGCUAAAUUAAGCUACCGGGACUCCAAAAACGUAAAGAACAUUAAAAAUGGGGCUUGGGAUCACUUACUAUGGAGCUUAGAAGCUUGAAAACCCUAACUAUGGCUUCCCCCCUUGCUGAUU